rnacentral:rRNA from 1 species
AUUGAACGCUGGCGGCAUGCUUUACACAUGCAAGUCGAACGGUAACAGGCCGCAAGGUGCUGACGAGUGGCGAACGGGUGAGUAAUGCAUCGGAACGUGCCCAGUCGUGGGGGAUAACGCAGCGAAAGCUGUGCUAAUACCGCAUACGAUCUAUGGAUGAAAGCGGGGGACCGUAAGGCCUCGCGCGAUUGGAGCGGCCGAUGUCAGAUUAGGUAGUUGGUGGGGUAAAGGCCCACCAAGCCAACGAUCGGUAGCUGGUCUGAGAGGACGACCAGCCACACUGGGACUGAGACACGGCCCAGACUCCUACGGGAGGCAGCAGUGGGGAAUUUUGGACAAUGGGCGCAAGCCUGAUUCAGCAAUGCCGCGUGCAGGAAGAAGGCCUUCGGGUUGUAAACUGCUUUUGUACGGAACGAAACGGUCUGGGUUAAUACCCUGGGCUAAUGACGGUACCGUAAGAAUAAGCACCGGCUAACUACGUGCCAGCCGCCGCCGUAAUAC